UGAAUACGAGACGCUAAGGCGUCGAAGUAGUGUAUGUCAUACUUCCAAGAAAAGCUUGCACUGUCAUAGAUAAAAAACGCCUGUACCAUAACCGACACAGGUGGGUAGGUAGAGCAUACUAAGGGGCGCGAGAUAACUCUCUCUAAGGAACUCGGCAAAAUAACUCCGUAACUUCGGGAGAAGGAGUGCCUUAUUCGUAAGGUUGCAAUAACAAGAUCCAAGCAACUGUUUAUCAAAAACACAGGUCUCCGCUAAGUCGUAAGACGAUGUAUGGGGGCUGACGCCUGCCCAGUGCCAGAAGGUUAAAGAAGUUGGUUAGCAAUUGCGAAGCUGAUAACUGAAGCCCUGGUGAACGGCGGCCGUAACUAUAACGGUCCUAAGGUAGCGAAAUUCCUUGUCGGGUAAGUUCCGACCCGCACGAAAGGCGUAAUGAUUUGGAUACUGUCUCGGAGAGGGGCUCGGUGAAAUAGACUUGUCUGUGAAGAUGCGGACUACCUGCACCAGGACAGAAAGACCCUAUGAAGCUUUACUGUAACUUGAAAUUGAAAUUGGACUUUAUUCGCGCAGUAUAGGUGGGAGGCGUUGAUUAUAAUCUUGUGGGAUUAUUGGAGCCAUCAGUGAGAUACCACUCUUGUAAUGUUAGAUUUCUAACUUUGAAUCAUUAUCUGGUCAAAGAACAGUUUCAGGCGGGCAGUUUGACUGGGGCGGUCGCCUCCUAAACGGUAACGGAGGCGUACAAAGGUUUCCUCUGAACGGUUAGAAAUCGUAUCUAGAGUGUAAAGGCAUAAGGAAGCUUGACUGUGAGACCUACAAGUCGAGCAGGGACGAAAGUCGGUCUUAGUGAUCUGACGGUACUGAGUGGAAAGGCCGUCACUCAACGGAUAAAAGUUACUCUAGGAUAACAGGCUGAUCUCCCCCAAGAGUUCACAUCGACGGGGAGGUUUGGCACCUCGAUGUCGGCUCAUCGCAUCCUGGGGCGGUAGUACGUCCCAAGGGUUGGGCUGUUCGCCCAUGAAAGCGGUACGCGAGCUGGGUUCAGAACGUCGUGAGACAGUUCGGUCCAUAUCCGGUGUAGGCGUUAGAAUAUUGAGAGGAGCCUUCUUUAGUACGAGAGGACCGAGAAGGACAUACCUCUGGUGUACCAGUUAUCGUGCCAACGGUAAACGCUGGGUAGCUAUGUAUGGAGUGGAUAACCGCUGAAAGCAUCUAAGUGGGAAGCCCCCCUCAAGAUAAGUAUUCUCAUG
rnacentral:rRNA from 1 species